ACAGAGCAAUGCCAAGCAGCCGAGGCAGAGGAAUCCGGAGGCUAAGGGAGGCCACUGAAAAGAGGACAGACAGGACAGCAGCCUGAAGCCUCCAUUUCAGGUGUGUGGCCCUCUCAGGAGAGACACGGUCCACUGCGAUUCCUCCACCAACCAAUCUGGAUAUCCAAUUGCCAGAGGUCCUGGGAGCUGUUGACUGAGGCUGGGUGCUCACGGGUCCCCCACUUGAGCUUGGAAGAACUUCCAAAUUGACCUCUCCUAAGUUAAGUGUUCCACCCACCACCCCCACAGAUGUACUGCACUGUAUCUCUCCUGUGUGACUUGAGUCACACAGGGGAGACCCCACUUUUGCUCCUGUCUGACCAGAUGUGGGUGCCUAUUGGACAACCUGUUCCCAGGCUCGCUGAUACCCAGUGUUUUCCGUCCUGCAGCAUCCACAAUGAGGGUCCAUUUGUUACACAGAACCAAGACUCUGGCAGUUUGCGUCAAUGGAUUGAUGGGUGAGAAUUCUGUGGUGUGAGCUAUGGUGAUUCCCACCUAGCCAGAAUUGUCCGUCUGUAGGAAAUUUCCACAGUAAUAGAGAAAGCCUGGUGCCAACUCUUGUGAACUCUUGAGUUAGAAUAAUAUUUACAUUUUCAAAUGGUCACCAAACUCAAAGUAAGACUAUUUCGGGAUACAGAAAAUAUGUGAAAUGCAAGUUUUGAUGCCCAUGAGGAAGCUUUUUUUUUUUUUAACCAAAUCACGUUCUUCCUUAUCUUGCAAUGGGUGUGCUGAGCAUGAGUGAGGCUCCAUUUCAGUGCCCAGCACCAUAUCCAGACCUUACACAUUUUGGGAAUAGAUUUCUUUCCGUUAACUCCUGCUGUGAUCAGUGAGUGUGCUUAGCAAAUUUAGGGAGCGGUCCCCUGAGACUCUUUCAUCGUCCUCUGAAUGACUCCUUUUGUCCUCGUCACCCACCUACAGCCUUCUUUCCUUCUCACUGUCUUCUGUGUGAACCUGUCUGGGAUGGCUCAGUCCAGAGCAGUCAUUAUUUUCUAAUUAGAUCUUAGCUCUCUCUCCAUUAAAAAAAAAUGCAGUGCUAGAAGCAAAACUUGGGUCCUCUGUAAGAGUAACAAGCACUCUUCAUUACUGAGCCAUGUCUCCAGCCCGUCUUCUAAUUCAUAACCCCUUCUCACCAUUGCAAGGAGACCCUUGGGACUCUCUACACCCUACAGAACCUAAUAGAAUAUCUCCUGCUGAAAUAUAUACUCUUCCAAGACACGAUCCUUUUAGGAAACAGAGAAGAGGUUGUCAGAGAGAGAGAGAGAGAGAGAGAGAGAGAGAGAGAGAGAGAGAGAGAGCGCAGGCAGUGUAGUAAUCAAAGGCUAAGUUGGUUCCCCUCGAUUUUGAUUUUGUGUUGUUCAUUAGAUAAGGCUGUGGAGAGGCCCACAGCAGUUGGAAGAUGAAGCAAGAACGUCCAUAGAAGAGUAGAGAUGGAGGUUGUGCUGCUAAUUUUAAGUCAACUUGGCACAGGCUAGAACUGUCUGGGAGGAGGGAAUCUCACCUGAGAAAAUCCCUCCAAAAGAUGGGGCUGUAAGGAGACCUACAGGCAUUUUUUUAAUUAGUGAUUGAUAUGGGAGAGCCCGGCCCACUGUGAGUGGGAAUGACCCUGGGCUGGCGGUUCUGGGUUCUACAAGAAAGCAGGCUGAGCAAGCCAUGAUGAGAAAGGCAGUAAUCAGUGCUCUACCAUAACCUCUGCUUCAGUUCUUCCUCCAGGUUCCUGCUAGGCUUGGAUUCCUGCCUUGGCUUCCUUCAAUGGAUUGUGAUUCAGGAUAGGCAUGCACUACUACGUCCAACAAGGCGGUAGGCUUUGCUGUGGAGGGGAAUACUGCUGCUGGUGGUGACAGUCACGGCGGAGUGUGCCACAGAACCACCCCAUGAUUAUGAAGUCUAAGAAGAGACCCACUUCUGCCACCAGGGCCCUAUUUACCUUCUUCAGAGACUCCACCUCACCGCCUGUCCCUAGCAUGGGGUCCCUAUCACGCUGCUGUCGCUCUGUCCCCAGUAAUCCGUCACAGCAUGUCCCUCUUGACAAACCCCCAACCUUUAAGCAGCUAUGUUCUCAUGGCAGCUUUGUCUGCACAUGCCUGUGAGCAUGGUAGACACUUCGCAGCUGCCUUCUGCCUUGCCUUCUCCUGCAUUGCCCUUUUCCACAGUGACAGCCAGUAGAUUCAGUGGCUCCCAUUUCAUCACUUCAAGGUCACUGCCGCUGCUGUGCUACGUGAGAUCUUGGCUCCAAGCCCUGGCCUGAAAACCUUCUGGGAAGAUAGACUGAGUUUCUCAUUAAUCCAUUCGGUCUAGAAGUGUCCACGGGGUGCCUACUGUGUCCCAGGCACUGUUGUAGGUUUCAGGCCCAUAUCGCCCCCCGAGCUUGUCUUCUGGUGAGAGAAAGCAGAGAAUCUGUGACGACAGAAUACAUGAUCUUUCGGAGGUGAUAUGUGUGGAGGGGAGGGGAGGGCGUCAGAUGGUUAAGAGAACCUCGAGGCUCGAGUGGGAAGUGUAGCGGCUGCCAUCUGAAUCCUUGGGCCAUGUGAACAGACAGAGGAGAUGGAAUAGAUAAGUGUGUGGGCACCCACAGAAAGAUUGUACAGACCAAGGCUUGCUACACUGCACCCCUGAAGCUGAAGCUUCCCUGAGGGCUGGAACAGAGAGCAAGGUGGGGGCGGCUUGGAUUUCAACCUGAGAGAUGAACAGAGGGUUAUCAGCUCCAACUAUACCUCUAGCCAACACAGAGACCUCUAGCCAGGUGAGGCUCUAAGUACGUGAAGCGUGGCUGGUCCAAAGAGAUGGCACCUCACGUUUGAAAGGACGCAAACAUAAGAUUCGUUAGUUUUGUCUGGAUGUCAUUUGACAACAACAGUAAUUUUGUGGUAUUGGGUUAACUAAAGCAUAUUAUUGCCUUUUUCCUCAUUGGCCGUAGAGGGAGGAUAGAUGGGUCCCCAGCAGUUGUACUAGAGUCAGCCAGGGAAGUCAGAGCAGGGUCCUCACACUUGCUGCAUCUGUUCAAACAGCCACACUCUCCAACCCAGAAAAGCAAAUUGAACAUGCACAGGCAGUGUUUCCAUCAGUGUGCAAAGGAUACAGGGUCAUUCGAUGAUUACUUCUGAGUGCGGUGGCUGGGGGAAGACUCUAAGUUGACCUUCUCUGGUGUGUCCUUCCUGUGCUCCUUAUCCUACUGCACUGUGGACUGAGAUAGCCACCGGGGCAUGCAAAACCUUCUCACCAAGCCUUUGUCUUCAGCGGAGAAUUUUGCUUGGUUUCCUAAUUGACUUGUCUGAUUGAGCCUGGGCAGCUUCCAUGCUGUGACUUACAGAUGCCUGCGAUGCCUCUGCUCUCCCUGAAGGACUGGUGAUUUCUGUGGGGAGUAGUUUUCCAAAUCAGUUUGUCGGGAUAGAUUUUGGUUUUGGGCUACUUCAGUGCGGAAACUGACACCAGCUCCUCUUUUCCAGAGGGCAGGGCCACCUCCUAUGUGUACUUCGAUACCCCCUCUUUUGCGUUUGUAAUACAAUCUAAUCUUAGCUCAGCACAACGCCACCAACGUAUUGACUGUAUGUGGCAUCCUUUUGCAAGGUUAAGUGUGGGGUGUGACUGAUAACAGACCACCUUAGUGAGUGUUGGUUAUGGACGUCAUCCCCGUGCUUUUCCCCAAAUAGAAGGCAUGUGCCCCUCGACUCCAAGUUCUUUGCCCAAGCAGCUAAAAUACAAUGGCUAAGGCUAGAAAGAAGUCUCAGCAGUUAAAAGCACCUGUUGCAGGGCAGUGGUGGCGCACACCUUUAAUCCCAGACAUCAGGAGGCA